CAUCUGGUACACGUGUAACAAUGGAAAACAAAGGCACUUUCUUAAUUUCAAUCUUACCAUUCCUAAUAACUGAUAAUAAUGUAAUGGUUUAGUUCAUAGGUAGUUUCUCGCACUUUGGCAUAGAAUAGCUUCCUUCUUUUGUGUGAGUUUUGCAUAACGAUUUAGUUUUCGACUUUAUCACUUGAGUGUUGUUGUAUCAAACAAACAUUUCUGCUGUAUUAGGCAACUAUUUAGGAGACUAUUUCUGUAUUUUAAUUUAACAUUUGUACUCUACCUUAUAGAUUUUAGUAAAGCAAUUCCUAACCUUGAAACUUCGAUUCGACAGUCUUUGUGAGUUCUCUUCGAUUAUGACUUUUGCUGUUUCAUUGAUCUGCAUAUUAUUGUUUUGGAUUCCUUACUUAUGCAAGUUGGUUACUUUAUUAUCCAUUGUUUUAACUCUUCUACUGAGAUUCUAUGGUAUGUGCUUUCACAUAUGAUAAUUUCAGCGAAAAGUCGCAAAAGUUGGGAUGUCUUGGUUAAACAUUCUCACUGACAAAUUGAAUUGUCCAGCUAUUACUCCAUUGCUUCUCUCCGUAGUACUAUUGCUUCUAAGAUGAACUUUGUUUGUUUAUAAGCUUACAAUGUAUCGGUCUAUUUUAUAAUUUCCUUUUCCCUUCUUUUCACGUCAACAAUCAGUAAAGUGGAUCGUAUUAGCCAGAUGAACAGUUAUGAGGAUGACAUGUUACGUUCUUUAGUAAGUGUCCCAUGGUAAGGUGUACAUGUGUUUCUUAUUGACUAUUUAGAACUCCUUUACAAAAUUCUUACAUUGUGUUUGAAAUGGUUAGUCGUAUAGAAAUGUCAGCGCCUUCUGGGAGAACAUCGGGUUAAAUAAUCACUUUUACCCUUCCAGCAUUUUAUAAUGCUUCUUACAGAUUUCAACAAGAUUAUCGGUAACCAACACCUUCUUCCAAAUAAGAGAUCAGCAGAUAACAUGUAAAGAGAACACACUUUAGUACCUAUGCGGAGAAGCCACUGAGCUGAACACGGUUGUAUAAAUUUCCAACAGAAUUUGCCUUUUAACUACCACAGAAAGAUUAGAAGUACUUAACACUGACUAAAGAAGAUUUACUUAACAAUAUAUUAUUUUCAUUCUCAUAACUUAUAGAGGAUCAUAAUGAAACAGGGGCCAACAAAAUAGACCAAAGACUUCUUGUGAACACCUUCACAAAAGAAACUACAGGCUGGAAUUGUAAGGCCCAGGUAGUAGACAAGUUUCGGCCUCGCCAGAGCAAAGACUCCUCCGUCCACUUCCAAAAAAUACUCAUGCAAGAUAAAAGCGUAAUUUUUCCUGUCAUAGGUUAUUCCAACUCUUUAAUGGUCAUUUGGGGUACAUUAUAAUAUUUCUGCUUCCUUAUUGUUGGUGUCAUCUUGGUAGCGAUAUGGUUGCUUCCGUUAUAUACCCUGCCUGCUAUACCUUUAUCUUGUGAACUCUUCUCUUCCCUUAUCAAGUAUAUCUACAUUUGGUCAAAUAUUUCUUCCCAUUCUUAGGUUUGUUCCUUCUGUUGAUGUGUUCAGUUAUCACUGCCUGAAAGCGUUUGUUCCUUUGUGGGAACUACAUGUAAAAAAAAGGGCAUGUCAAUCUUUAUUCCCAUUAUUUCCGUUUGAAAUCAUGGGCUUUAAAUAUAUUAAUAUAAACAAAGAACAGGUCUGCUAAUCUUCAUCGUGCUUAAUUUUCCUUAGUAACACCUGCAUUUACGUACUUCUCUUCUUCAUACUCUUAUGUCUUUCCAAAAUAUUUAUCAUGUGGAAUGAAAUUGUUACGGAAUUGAUACAUAAGUAAAUGUAAUAAAACAAUUUUCUCAGAAUUGGACAGACGAAAAACAUACCUUCAUUCCUCUAUAAAUUGUUCUUGCAUAUGUAAAACUUUUCCUCCUUUACUUGACUAUAGGAACAGCAGGUUUCCAUAGUACUAUACCACGAUGACAUUCCCAAAUACGAGAAACUGUUUGUUCUUUUUCAAACAUAUUUGGUUUCUUCUAUGAAAGUUAGGGAUCCCCAUGGUUAUUCAAUACGAGCUGCUACGUAUGAAUGAGUGGUUGACAGAUACACAAUUGUUGAUCCCAUUACCAGCAAUGCAUUAGAAGAACCUCUGCCUACUCCAACAAAACUGGAUGCACUUCCAUUCUUGCAUAUUGAACACCAACAUCCAGGUGUUGAAUUUGAUUUAUUGGCGGUAGAGGUUAAUUACAGCGCCAUACAAUAUACAGCUGACCAAAAAAACAUUUUAGAGAAGUGAAUAUGAUGGACCAGAGAUAAUGAAGGAGCGACAUUAUUACACCACCUGCAUGAAUACCCCAUCAUUCUUGCCAAACGUACAGCUAAAGGAGCUUUCCCUCUUUUACGCACACAACUCUAAGAUUGGCAACAAGAUAUCAAACAAUAAUUUUAACAAAUGCUCAGUACAUGCAAGCUACUACAUUGAUGAACUGAAAUAACAAUCAUGCCUCCUCGUCACAGUACUAAUCAGAGUGCUCAGAAUUAUAAAGUCUGUCCCACUCAUGGCAUGAGGACACAUAAUAGAGCUCCCAACCCAGACCCUGUCCCUACUCCGAGAGUCCCUCCAGUCUCGACUAGUCCACCUCAGGCUCCACGGACUAAUGUUAAUCAUCCCCUGACUGCUCAGAGAGAUAUUUCAAAUGCCGAAUUUAGACAGUCUAUUCAUAUGCUAGCACAGUUGGUGGCUAAUCAGGCUCAAUGAUUGGAAGAUGUUGGAUAUGCAUCAGUGACGUCGGAGGCUACUAGGGUGGGAUAGUUCAUGAGAAUGAACGCACCCAAGUUUACUGGCAUCAAGGUAGAAGAAGAUCGGCAAGAAUUCGUAGAUGAAAUGGAGAAAAUUUUCAUAGUGAUGCAUGUGGAUCAGAUUGAAGGUGUUGAGUUGGCAACCUACCAGCUGAAGGAUGUAGCAAACCAAUGGUACAAUGAGUGGGAGGAUGCAAAGAGUGACAAUGCUGAGCCCACAAUUUGGGAUAAGUUUGUAGAAGCUUUCCUUGAUAGGUUCUUUCCUCUAGAGCUGAGGGAAACUAAAGCAGAGGAGUUCAUGAACCUCAAGCAGGGUAAGACGAGCGUGUAGGAGUACACUUUAAAAUUUAAUCAGUUGGCCUAUUAUGCUCCUGAGAUGAUGAGUAUUAUGAGGGCCCUAAUGAGGAAGUUUGUUUUUGGCCUUUCAGAUGAUCUGGUGCUUGAGUGUCAGGGAGCUAUGCUGAACAAGGAGUUGGACUUUUCUAGGCUGACAGUUCACAGGCAACAAGUAGAGGAGAAGAAAAAGAAGAUUUCUGAAUCUAGGAAGAAGGAAAGAUAGGCAAAAAGAGCCAGAUCUGCCGACUAGGGUCACAGUCAGCCUCAAAGCGGUAAGUGCAGAAAUAAAUGGUAGAAGAAGAAGAAUUAGGGUAAUGCACAGUCUGCUGCAGCACCCCAAUAUCUAGACCACCGACAGACAGAUAAUCUCAGAGUUUUCAGACUCACCAUGGAUCCAGAGCCCCAGUUACUCAGUCACAGGGCAGUGUGGCCCAAUAACGUCGUACUUAUCCUUGGUGUGAGACUUGUGGAAAGGAUCACCCAGGGAAGUGUUAUUUCAAGGGGAGAAAUUGUUAUUCUUAUGGCAAGGUAGGUUACCUUCUGAGAGAUUGCCCUUCUACUGGAGGAAAUAUGAGGGAGGGGGGGAGAGGGGAGGAAAUAAGUACCAAGCCACCUCCACGGCUCCUCCUCCUAAGGGUGCCCUCUCAGCUACCAGGAGCGGUCGCAACUGGUUAUAUGCUUUGACCAACUGCCAGGAGGCAGAAGUUUCCCCAGACGUUGUCACCGGUGCCACUUCGACCUUGACAUCAUGGAUACAACUGGCACAAUUACAACAACCAUCUCAGAAGCGUUGGGAGAAAGAUUACUGUCCCUAACUGCCGAACAAAUAUAUGAAUCUGCUGUAGUUCAGGUGGUUAAACCCAAAACUAAAUGCAGCAGGUUCAGGUGGUCUGCCAUGUACAGCUAAAUUUUUGUUGCCUCCACCAACUUCAUCACAUGGUAUAGCAUGUACAGGACUGUAAAACUACAAGAAACGGGGUUUAUACUAUGGUUUCGGACAUAAUUCAAGCUCUGCCAAAUCAACGAUCUUUCACUUCCAGGAUUAUUCAACGCUAGCCAUAAAUAAUAGUGGGGUUGAGGAGAUAUUGACAAUGAUGAUGAUAACGAGGGAGGGGACCAUUGAAUCUAUUAGCGAAACUGAAAACUGGAUUUGUCGUGUCAUCCAUAUAAGCCUUGACGAGCAAGACGACGCCAUUGGAGUUGAAAGCUCUGUAUAAUAAUUUUCUUUGUGGAAGGAAAAGUAUAGAAAUGUCAAAAAUAAAAAAGAGAUGGACAGAUUGAGUUGCAGUAGGUUUUUCUCAUCUUUCUUUUACUCUCCAAAGGCAAAAUAACAUGAAACUUGGAACAAAAGGGCACAGGAUGGUGUAACAUUGUUAGAAUUUGUGUUUACCGCAAAAAAAGAAAGGCGCGAAUUUACACGGAAAACAGAUUUGUUUUACUGGAAGUUUGAGUAACAAGGACGAAAAAAUCCAUGUCCUUUUAGUUGAUAAUGACACCAUGACUAUGAAGUCAGGCAUAUUGCAGAGAUUCCUUAAUGUUUUUUCCCUCUGUUCGGCGAAUUUUCUUACUGGAAUAGAGACUAUGACAUUCUCAUUUACUGGGAAUACUGAAAAUAAAGGUUUGCAAUAUCAUUUUCUCUUUUCUACUUUUAUUUUUCUCUAAUCACACUAAAGUGUCGUUGACCUGAAAUAGUAAAUGAGUGCAAAGGAAAAUAGAAGAUGGAAUAUGUUUUACAUUAUCAAUUUGCAAUUACUUUUUGACAUUGACUUCGCUCUAUCUUUUUUC